CAGUAGCCCGGUAAUACGAAGGGUGCAAGCGUUACUCGGAAUUACUGGGCGUAAAGCGUGCGUAGGUGGUGGUUUAAGUCCGUUGUGAAAGCCCUGGGCUCAACCUGGGAAUUGCAGUGGAUACUGGGUCACUAGAGUGUGGUAGAGGAUAGUGGAAUUUCCGGUGUAGCAGUGAAAUGCGUAGAGAUCGGAAGGAACAUCUGUGGCGAAGGCGACUAUCUGGGCCAACACUGACACUGAGGCACGAAAGCGUGGGGAGCAAACAGGAUUAGAUACCCCAGUAGUCCCUGUCUCUUAUACA
rnacentral:rRNA from 1 species